UAAGGAAUAUUGGACAAUGGACGCAAGUCUGAUCCAGCCAUGCCGCGUGAAGGAUGAAUGCCCUCUGGGUUGUAAACUUCUUUUAUAGGGGAAGAAAGAUACUUUUUUUAAGGUAGUUGACGGUACCCUAUGAAUAAGCACCGGCUAACUCCGUGCCAGCAGCCGCGGUAAUACGGAGGGUGCAAGCGUUAUCCGGAUUUACUGGGUUUAAAGGGUGCGUAGGCGGGCAUGUAAGUCAGUGGUGAAAUACCGGAGCUUAACUUCGGAACUGCCAUUGAUACUAUAUCUCUUGAAUAUUGUGGAGGUAAGCGGAAUAUGUCAUGUAGCGGUGAAAUGCAUAGAUAUGACAUAGAACACCGAUUGCGGAGGCAGCUUGCUACGCAAAUAUUGACGCUGAGGCACGAAAGCGUGGGGAUCAAACA
rnacentral:rRNA from 1 species